CGCGUAGGCGGUCUUUGCCAGUCAGGCGUGAAAGCCCCCGGGCUUAACCUGGGAACUGCGCUUGAUACUGCGAAGCUAGAGUUCGGGAGAGGAGAGUGGAAUUCCCAGUGUAGAGGUGAAAUUCGUAGAUAUUGGGAAGAACACCAGUGGCGAAGGCGGCUCUCUGGACCGAUACUGACGCUGAGGCGCGAAAGCGUGGGGAGCAAACA
rnacentral:rRNA from 1 species